rnacentral:sRNA from 1 species
UUGACAGCCCUGGAGACUAAAGCUUUCUAUCAUGACAGAGUACAGCAUGGGCGAUGGCAGGUGUGGGGAGGCUUGUCCUUUGUCUUGCCACUCUGCCUCACCUCUGACCUGGAGGAGCCCUUGAUCUAAUGGCGAGAGGGUAAUUCAGUCUUCAUGGCCCAUUUGUUCCUUGGCUGAG